UACGAAGGGGGCUAGCGUUGCUCGGAAUCACUGGGCGUAAAGCGCACGUAGGCGGCUUUUUAAGUCAGGGGUGAAAUCCUGGAGCUCAACUCCAGAACUGCCUUUGAUACUGAGAAGCUUGAGUCCGGGAGAGGUGAGUGGAACUGCGAGUGUAGAGGUGAAAUUCGUAGAUAUUCGCAAGAACACCAGUGGCGAAGGCGGCUCACUGGCCCGGUGCUGACGCUGAGGCGCGAAAGCGUGGGGAGCAAACAGG
rnacentral:rRNA from 1 species